rnacentral:rRNA from 1 species
GACGGAACGCCUGGCGGCGCGCCUAACACAUGCAAGUCGAACGAGCGAGAGAGAGCUUGCUUUCUCAAGCGAGUGGCGAACGGGUGAGUAACGCGUGAGGAACCUGCCUCAAAGAGGGGGACAACAGUUGGAAACGACUGCUAAUACCGCAUAAGCCCACAGCUCGGCAUCGAGCAGAGGGAAAAGGAGUGAUCCGCUUUGAGAUGGCCUCGCGUCCGAUUAGCUAGUUGGUGAGGUAACGGCCCACCAAGGCAACGAUCGGUAGCCGGACUGAGAGGUUGAACGGCCACAUUGGGACUGAGACACGGCCCAG